rnacentral:rRNA from 1 species
GCCGUAGGAUGCGAUCGUUGUCCGGAUUCAUUGGGCGUAAAGAGUUCGUAGGCGGUUUGUUAAGUCUGGUGUUAAAGGCCGGGGCCCAACCCCGGAGGUGCAUUGGAUACUGGCAGACUUGAGUGCGGUAGAGGCGAGUGGAAUUCCCAGUGUAGCGGUGAAAUGCAUAGAUAUUGGGAAGAACACCGGUGGCGUAGGCGACUCGCUGGGCCGUAACUGACGCUGAGGAACGAAAGCCAGGGGAGCGAAUGGG